UAAUACGUAGGCAGCGAGCGUUGUUCGGAAUUACUGGGCGUAAAGAGUGUGUAGGCGGUGUUCUAAGUUCGGUGUGAAAUCUCCUGGCUUAACUGGGAGGGUGCGCCGGAAACUGGAAUGCUCGAGCGUGGGAGAGGAAAGCGGAAUUCCUGGUGUAGCGGUGAAAUGCGUAGAUAUCAGGAGGAACACCUGCGGUGUAGACGGCUUUCUGGACCAUUGCUGACGCUGAGACACGAAAGCGUGGGUAGCAAACAGGAUUAGAUACCCUGGUAGUCCACGCC
rnacentral:rRNA from 1 species